rnacentral:rRNA from 1 species
UACGGGGGGAGCGAGCGUUGUUCGGAAUCACUGGGCGUAAAGCGUGCGCAGGCGGUUUUGUAAGUCAGGAGUGAAAUCCCGGGGCUCAACCUCGGAAUUGCUUUUGAAACUACAUGACUAGAGUAUGGUAGAGGUUGGGAGAAUUCCUAGUGUAGAGGUGAAAUUCGUAGAUAUUAGGAGGAAUACCAGUGGCGUAGGCGCCCAACUGGACCAUUACUGACGCUUAGGCACGAAAGCGUGGGGAGCAAACAGG